rnacentral:rRNA from 1 species
UUUUUUAUGGAGAGUUUGAUCCUGGCUCAGGAUGAACGCUGGCGGCGUGCCUAAUACAUGCAAGUCGAGCGAACAGAUAAGGAGCUUGCUCCU